CCUACGGGAGGCAGCAGUGAGGAAUAUUGGUCAAUGGGCUUACGCCUGAACCAGCCAAGUCGCGUGAGGGAAGACUGCCCUAUGGGUUGUAAACCUCUUUUGUCAGGGAGCAAUUGGCGCUACGUGUAGCGUUAUCGAGAGUACAUGAAGAAACAGCAUCGGCUAACUCCGUGCCAGCAGCCGCGGUAAUACGGAGGAUGCGAGCGUUAUCCGGAUUUAUUGGGUUUAAAGGGUGCGUAGGCGGAAUGCCAAGUCAGCGGUAAAAGCGCGGGGCUCAACCUCGCUACGCCGUUGAACCUGGCGUUCUUGAGUGGGCGAGAAGUAGGCGGAAUGCGUGGUGUAGCGGUGAAAUGCAUAGAUAUCACGCAGAACUCCGAGUGCGAAGGCAGCAGACCGGCGCCCAACUGACGCUGAAGUACGAAAGCGUGGGUAUCGAACAGGAUUAGAUACCCAAGGAGUC
rnacentral:rRNA from 1 species